GAUGAACGCUGGCGGCGUGCCUAAUACAUGCAAGUCGAACGCAUAGCGAAAGGUGCUUGCACCUUUCAAGUGAGUGGCGAACGGGUGAGUAACGCGUGGACAACCUGCCUCAAGGCUGGGGAUAACAUUUGGAAACAGAUGCUAAUACCGAAUAAAACUUAGUGUCGCAUGACACAAAGUUAAAAGGCGCUUCGGCGUCACCUAGAGAUGGAUCCGCGGUGCAUUAGUUAGUUGGUGGGGUAAAGGCCUACCAAGACAAUGAUGCAUAGCCGAGUUGAGAGACUGAUCGGCCACAUUGGGACUGAGACACGGCCCAAACUCCUACGGGAGGCUGCAGUAGGGAAUCUUCCACAAUGGGCGAAAGCCUGAUGGAGCAACGCCGCGUGUGUGAUGAAGGCUUUCGGGUCGUAAAGCACUGUUGUAUGGGAAGAACAGCUAGAAUAGGAAAUGAUUUUAGUUUGACGGUACCAUACCAGAAAGGGACGGCUAAAUACGCG
rnacentral:rRNA from 1 species